CGUUAUUUUAGAUGGAAAUAAAUAUAUUAGUAGAAAUAUAAAGACUUUUCGUUACGUGACUGUAAAUAUCAACUAUAAGUGAGUUAUUUAAUAUCAUAUGCUGUAUUGUUUAAUACCAUUGACGCAAGCAUUGGUUAUCGAAAUGUGUAUAUUCGUUAGAAAUAAAUUUUAAUUCUCGAAUUUUCCAGGCGGCGUUUUGCUAAACGUUUACGUCACAUCGGAUUUAUGAAUGAGUCAAAUUGAUUAGAUACGUUACGUAUUAUUGUAUAUUGUAAAAUGAGCGAUAAGGAAAAUCCUAAAAAAUUGUUUACUCAGGAGUUUGACUUUACCAAUAGAGCAGGAGACAAUUGUGUCGGUAAUAACGAACAUUGAUAUUAUCGAUGUUAAAGCAGUGCCGUAUAUAGUUAAAACAUUCAAAGGUUACACGAUCUUAUGCUUUAAUAAUCAAAAACGAAAUGUAGGAUAUUAAUCACGUAUCUGAUCUAGAAUACUCAAUAGGUUAAUACAAAAAUUAUUAUGCUUUUUAUUUCGACCAAUUUCUGUUGCUUUACGUUUCACAGUUUAAAAUCGGGAGUUUGCUUUUAUUUCGUAAUUAAUUAAAUGAUUUAAAUUCGAUAAUAUUGAGUAAUAAUAACAAUAUAAUAUAAGCAAAAAUCAGUAAAAUCACACACACAAUUUCAUCUUUUUUAAAUUAUAUACCACAUAACUAUAAUUAAAAGACAAUUAAUAAAAAUUGGCGCAAAAUUUAAAUUAUAAAAACUCCAAUGAUUCGUUCAUAAAUAUAAUCGUUUGCUUUAAUUCUCGUAUAAAAUUGAUUAUAAUUGACAACAAAAAAAAGAGAAGAAUCUUACGUGUGAGAAAAUAAUUUCUAUAAACAAAACAAAAGGAGAGGGGAAUAAAGAAAAUGAGUAAAAUCCGGUGUGUAAGUUACGAGUAAUAUACGGAAAGUGGUCGACGGUGUGAACGCGGUCGAUCGGCUCAUACUUGUGACUCGUGGGUUCAACUCGGAUUCUUUCGGGUUGUUUCGGUAAUGUUCGACUCCCUCCAGCUUGGUGAUCUCGUCAGCCGGCGGCGUCAGUCGUUGCCGCGACAUCGCGUCGUGUACAUUGUUGUUGAUAUUAGUUUUGAAUAACGAUCGACUCUCUGAUUGCAUGCUUUCGAUUCGAUCUUUUAAAUUUUAUAUAUUAUCUGAUUUUUUGAUAUUAUUCAUCAUUUUUAAAUGUACGUAAUUAUACGCGUCGAUUUAAGAAAAAACAACAGUGAAGUGUGUACUUUUAAGUGAAGACAAAUCAUCGUUAAAAAGGAGUUUGACCGAUGACGCUAAAAGCUUAGCGUCUUUUUCGAUCUUUCUAUCCUUCUCUCUCCCUUUCUUCUGAGAUAUAAGGGAGAGAGAGACUUGAAGAGAAUUGGAUUGUAAAAGAUCGUUCGGUGAUGAAAUACUCGCUCGAGAAGAUAAAGAUUAUCAACAACAAAAUUUAGGCCGCGAUAACGAUGAUGAUACUUUGAACGUUUGAUAAUCACUUCCUCCUUACCUUCAUCUUUCUCGCUGUUUUUCGAAACGAAGAAAACGAAAAAUUUGUUUCGUGAGAGAGAAAGAGAAAGAGGGUGAAGGGGGAGGGGGAGGGGAGAGGCCGUAAAUUUAGAGUUGUACGGAAAAUGAAAUAGGGAAGGGGAUAAAUUUAACGUGAUUAAAAAUUGAA
rnacentral:lncRNA from 1 species